rnacentral:tmRNA from 1 species
GGGGUUGACCGGAUUUGACAGCGGGUAGAAAAGGUAAGUAAGCAUGCAGUGCGUCAGUGAUUGGCACUCUAAUCUCAGUUACUAAAAAUUUAUCUGGCGAAAACACUCGUUUCGCUCUUGCUGCUUAAUCGAAGUAUAGUAGAUUAGCUUAAUCCUUGUACUAGGUGCAAGGACAAGACAUCACUCGGAUACUGUGAUUCCGAAGCGUUCCGGUUUAGUGAUGUAGCAAUAUCGGAAAUAGCCUGAGACGGCUUCGCGUUUUAUGGUGAAAUCCUUAGAAGAUAAGGGAUGAGUGGAUGGCUUUGGUUCUGCUCGUACACGAAAACUUAAACAAAGAUAAGCAUGUAGAAAGCUUAUGGAUUCCUCGUUUGGACGAGGGUUCGACUCCCUCCAGCUCCAC